rnacentral:tRNA from 1 species
GGGGGUGUAGCUCAGUGGGAGAGCGCAUGCUUAGCAAGUGUGAGGACCUGGGUUCUACCCUCAUCCCUG